rnacentral:misc_RNA from 1 species
CUCUCCCUCUCUCUCACACGAGGAUAAGUUUGUCAACUUAGAGGUUUUUGGGGGAACAUGAGGAUAUGAAACAAGUGAUCUCAAAGUACAUAUGAACAGAACAAAUUGACAGUUAAUUAUUUUUUCUAUUUUUUUCAUUUAAAUUGUUGCACCUAAUUUUUCAGCUUUUUUAGUUGUCUUGUAAUAUACAAUUCACCUUUUGCAACUUGCAGCCAACACCACCUGCCUGCCUGCCCGCCCUUCUCUCAUCCUCCGUCUGGAAACCCUUUAACAAAAUACCAAAAAAAAAAAAAAAAAAA